GAACAUAAGUUAGUUCUCUUUCAUACGGUUGGAUGUCACACUCAUUCUAGGGUUUAACGAGCUUGAUCCAUUCUACACCACAUAUCCAUCUUGGGGCUUUUGAAUUCUCCUUUUCAAAUGAUUUCUAGGUUUCACACGGAGAAAUUCUUGUGAAGAAAGCCUAUCAUUUUCCUGGGCGACCAUCUUUAUCUACCGUACAUCCAGGAGUGCAACUCCACCCAUAAAUGAAGCGGCCAUGAACGAUCUUUACCCAUAAUUCAUUUCCAUAUAUGGGAUCGGAGUUUCUUAAUGGCAUUGUAUCUCUGCCACACACACAUAUCCAUCAACCAGUCACGCAUCACUACAUUUUCUAAGGAACCCCUUUUGUGCUUUCGUCUCUUGGAAGGCAAAUACUCUCUUGAAUACUUGCUACUUCCCAUGUUUUAUUUA
rnacentral:lncRNA from 1 species